GAUGAACGCUGGCGGCGUGCUUAACACAUGCAAGUCGAACGGAAAGGCUCCUGCUUGCAGGGGUUCUCGAGUGGCGAACGGGUGAGUAACACGUGGGUGAUCUGCCCUGCACUUCGGGAUAAGCCUGGGAAACUGGGUCUAAUACCGUAUAGGAUACCAUCUUGGAUGGUAUGGAGGAGAGUUUUUCGGUUUGGGAUGGGCUAUCGGCCUAUCUGCGUCUUGGUGGGGUAAUGGGCUACCAAGGCAGAGACCGGCAGCCGGCCUGUGAGGGUGGACGGCCACAUUGCGCCUGCGAGACGGCGCAGUCGCCUACGUGAGACAGUAGUGGGGAGUAUGGCACAAUGGGCGCGCGCCUGAUGCAGCGACGCCGCGUGUGGGAUGACGGCCUUCGGGUUGUAAACAGCUUUCGCUAGGUACGAAGCGCAAGUGACGGUACCUGGAGAAGAAGCACCGGCUAACUACGUG
rnacentral:rRNA from 1 species